GCACUACAAAUUACAGAUUUUACAUACUGAUUGAAAACUUAUAUGUACUGUAUGAAAAAUGCAAGUGAAAAUAUGCCAGGAUUUGAAUAGCAAUUCUUGGCUGGUUAUAUGUCUGCCAGCAUGUCAUGUUCUGCUAGCCUGUAAUCUGUACGAAGUAGGUUAUUGACCAACCUAAUAACUGAAGUUGUCAUGUUGUGCUUCUCAGACCUGUAAAGUCUUUGCCUGCAAUUAAUUGACACAUCUUUAAAUAGAUGCCAUUGCAUAAUGGCCUCAUGCUGAUUUGGGAGCAAAACUGACAAGGGUAAAGUCAUCAUUCAUCAGUCAUUGCGCUCUUUUGUGGCCUGGGAAACACAUACACAUCCAUAUUUUCACCUACCAACUACCAAGUCUGCAAUUAGUAAAAAUAUGAUAUGAUAUGAUUUGCUUGGCAACCAUAUGUGGUGUGCGGUUAUAAUUAGUGCAUCCUCUAUUAUCAAUUUAUCAUGUUGUAGUACAUGGCUUAUGCAAUGUUAAUGUUAAUAACUUUUUGAAGAUGGUUGUUUUGCUGAUUGAGAUAACACAUUUCAUGAAAGCGAAACUGCUGAUUUUUUUACCUAGGGUGCUUCAGAUAGUGGCAUAGUCUGGACUUGCAACUCCUCUUUUGGCUUCGUUGCAUGAUGGAGACCCUAUCAUGUCUGCGCAGGACAUCUUGAAACAUCCAAAUUGUGCUGUCACUAGAGACUUUGUAGACUGUUUAUUCUUAUUUGAAAUAGAUGACAUGUUCUGCAUCUCAAUUCAACCCUAUGCUAUAAUGGUAGCGGGACUUCCUGAUACCAAAUUGUAGUCACUAGGAAAGGCAAUAAAAAUGGGUUAGAAGUGAUAAAAACCGUCCAUUUUCUGUCUUAAGGUGUGGCAACACCCAAUAAUACUUGAGAAUCCAAUUCUUUUAUAUAACUUUUGUAUCGCUUAAAAAGCUUUAGAACUGUUUCAAUAAAAUAGAACACACUGGACUGGAUUUAAAAGCUUUAAAAGCAUGUAUGUUGAAACCUGAUGACAACUGUUUCACUGUCUCAACACUGGAUUAUUCCAUCCUUUUUCUAUAUGACAUCACUUUCUGUUUUCUGAUUUCAGUGUUAUUAGUCAUUUUGAUAUUCUGGCAGCAAUGCCUCCUUGAUGGUAGUACAUAGACAUUUAUAUUGUGCAAUGUUGGAAUUUAUUUACCAACUGAAAUGAAGUAAUUGCAACUCUCCUUACUUUGUUCUUUUGGGACCUAUCUUUUUUGUUCUUGGGUGCACUUGCCAGAUUCCAGGCUGCUCACUAGCUUUCUGCGCACGGGGUCCAGGGCUGAUAACCGGUAAUUUUGAUUUUUAGACUGGUGUUCCAUCCGAUUUGCACCAGAUGUUAUAUAAAUCAUAUUGGAGCAUAUGGGGAAUUUCAAGGUGCAGUUAAGAGGUUCCUGCUGCAAUCAACUAGUGUCCAAGAUAUCCGCAUGACAGCUUUGGUGUUGCUUGAUUUCCUGCAAUGCAAACCCUCUGUUAUCCAAUGACAGUGAUGUUCAAGUUUUUGUUGUCCAAAUUUUUCUUGCUUUGCUACUACAUUUUCAUUUUUCUUGCUUUGCUACAAAUCCUUUCCUUGCGUAAAUUUGUUGAGACCUGAUGACAGCACUUAUUCACCAGAUGCCAAUGCUUUAUCAUCGUUGAGAACAGGGAUUUGUCAAUUUUGAUCAAACUUAAAUUUGUAGGGUUCUGAGUACUUCAGAUGACAAAUGCUGUAUGCACAGAUUCUCUGUUUUUUGAUAAAUGAUCCAGUUUAGGGCCAAAAGUCCACUAGAUUGAGGUUUGUGGUGGAACCGUUGUGUUGCUUACUAGCAAAGCCAAAUAAUACAGUUUUGUUAGAAACACUUGAGCAAUUGGUGCAAGCAUAUUUAUUAUACGACACCAUUUUUUUAAAUAUACAGAGUGAUUUGUGCUGUGGAAUACCAUUGACGUUGAAGCUGAAAACUGAAACUGUAAGUCUAAUUGCUUUUAUAUUUUGUUUGACUGUCCUGGUGAAUUGCUGCAACGUGACUCCCAUAACCAAUUUUGAUGAGCUGUUUUUUUAUAAAACAAACGUGAUUCUGAAACUAUCGUUGCUGCAAGAUCGACCUGAUACACUUUAUGAUCGUUUUGAUUUGUAUCCGGCUAUUUCUGCAGGUGUUGGUAACAAGCAGACAUUGGCACAGUUUUCGUGCCUUGUGGGACAUGUCCCGCAACUCUGUUCCAGAAGCCUGGAAUAAAGCUUGCAGAGGCAUCCACAUGCCAUCUAGCAGACCAGUCUGAGAAUCUCCUGAACUAGUUGCAAAUAUUUGCCCCUCUCAAGCCUGUUGAGGAAAAUGCUGGGGGUGUGAGGCCGUUCGUGGACCAUCCAGACGGUUUCAUGGUGGCUACUUGUCACUGAAAAGAUGUUGGAAACGCGGUGCGCGAAUCAGAAUAUGUUUGCUACCUUUCAUCUUCUCAAGCUGGGGGCAAUCUGGCGAGUGUUUUCAGUGAGAUUUGCAACCUUGUAUGGUUGCAAAUUUAGGAAUAAUGCGCCGAAAAAAUGCGUGUUGUUCGUUCAUUGGCAACGCUGGUGAAGGUCGAUAAAGUGUAAUGUGCUCGUCUGGGCAGUUGAAUUAGUAACGCACAUCCAUCAAAAUAAAUAAAGGUGCCACUGUCGUCUCGAGUCUUGCAGUCUACGCCCCCCUUCUGUGUUUCCUUUUCCUGAUUCAACGAAGCACCGACAUUGUUGCUCAACUGCCAGUCUUGUCACUCUGAUCUGAUCUGAUACUUUGUUAUAAAACUUAUUUUGGGGCAUU